rnacentral:rRNA from 1 species
UUCCGUAGUGAACCUGCGGAAGGAUCAUUACAGAGUUCAUGCCCGAAAGGGUAGACCUCCCACCCUUGUGUAUUAUUACUUUGUUGCUUUGGCGAGCUGCCUUCGGGCCUUGUAUGCUCGCCAGAGAAUACCAAAACUCUUUUUAUUAAUGUCGUCUGAGUACUAUAUAAUAGUUAAAACUUUCAACAACGGAUCUCUUGGUUCUGGCAUCGAUGAAGAACGCAGCGAAAUGCGAUAAGUAAUGUGAAUUGCAGAAUUCAGUGAAUCAUCGAAUCUUUGAACGCACAUUGCGCCCCUUGGUAUUCCGGGGGGCAUGCCUGUUCGAGCGUCAUUUCAACCCUCAAGCUUAGCUUGGUAUUGAGUCUAUGUCAGUAAUGGCAGGCUCUAAAAUCAGUGGCGGCGCCGCUGGGUCCUGAACGUAGUAAUAUCUCUCGUUACAGGUUCUCGGUGUGCUUCUGCCAAAACCCAAAUUUUUCUAUGGUUGACCUCGGAUCAGGUAGGGAUACCCGCUGAACUUAAGCAUAUCAAUAAGCGGAGGAA